rnacentral:lncRNA from 1 species
ACUUUCAGAGAAGCAGCCUCCCCAUCUGUGAAUCACGGCCGCCGGGCUCCUUGGUGAUGCCGCGUCCUCUGUGCCUCUUCGUGGUCUAAAGAUGGAGCCCCAAGGAGCCAAGACAGUCAAGGGCAUCCCUGUGAAUUUGGCAACAGAACAAAGAGAUAAGCACAUACAUUUGGGCUUCCCAGGUGGCGCUAGUGGUGAAGAACCCACCUGCCAAUGCAGGAGACGCAGGAGAACUGGGUUUGAUCCCUGGAUAGGGAAGAUCCCCUGGAGGAGAGCAUGGCAACCCAUUCCAGUAUUCUUGCCUGGAGAAUCCCACGGAUAGAGGAGCCUGGCGAGCCACGGUCCAUGAGGUUGCAGAGUCAGACACAUCUGAUGCAACUUAGCAUACAUGCAGGCAUGCACACUUGCUUAGCCGCAGCUCUUGUUAUACCAACUGGACAUUGGACCCAGCUGGGUGGGGCAGGUGCCCCCUUUUGGAGACUCCGGAUAAGCUGGUUUCAGGCGUGGGAGCUGAGAGUACCGCCCAGAAUCAAGCUGGUGAGACCACCUGUGUCACGUGCAUAUCACAGCAGAGAAAAACACCUGCCUGUGGACACAGAGAAUGAAGCAGCUGAGCCAAAGACGUGGAGAGGAGCCUGCGGGCCCCACAGGGCAAGGGCUUUCCAGAAUGAGAGGACCAGGAGUGUGACUGCUGCCUCAUCUGUGAAUUUAAACAGCAACAACUUCCAAGCCACUCUCUGGGUUCUGAUUUUGAGCUAAGCCUCACACUUUUUGAAGCAUCUUCUUCCAGCUGAAAUCUACCUUCGGGCUCCCAUCUGAGACGCCAAGCCCAGAAUGCUGUCCUGUGCAUUCCUGCAUCACCAAGGCCACCUGCACAGACUCUUGGAAGUCACGCUGUAGGUCUCAGUUUCUGAAUUUUGGGGCCUUGAAUGUGCUGUCCUGGUUCGAAUUUUUACUUUCUCAAGGAAAAAUAGAGGAUACAUUUUGGACAGCGGUGUGUAAGGCCCAAGAGGUUUCAGGGUUGACCAAGGAAAUAGACAUGACCACCAGGGGGCACUAGCCCACACAGACUCUGCUUGGGCAGGUCUGCUCCGGGGAAGUCCCUGGGGUUGGGACCACCCUGAGGCUCCUGUGCCGGUGACCACAACUCGGAAGAGGAGGAGGGCGG